rnacentral:rRNA from 1 species
UGGGGAAUUUUGGACAAUUGGGCGAAAGCCUGAUCCAGCAAUGCCGCGUGUGUGAAGAAGGCCUUCGGGUUGUAAAGCACUUUUGUCCGGAAAGAAAUCCUUGGCUCUAAUACAGUCGGGGGAUGACGGUACCGGAAGAAUAAGCACCGGCUAACUACGUGCCAGCAGCCGCGGUAAUACGUAGGGUGCAAGCGUUAAUCGGAAUUACUGGGCGUAAAGCGUGCGCAGGCGGUUUGCUAAGACCGAUGUGAAAUCCCCGGGCUCAACCUGGGAACUGCAUUGGUGACUGGGCAGGCUAGAGUAUGGCAGAGGGGGGUAGAAUUCCACGUGUAGCAGUGAAAUGCGUAGAGAUGUGGAGGAAUACCGAUGGCGAAGGCAGCCCCUGGGCCAAUACUGACGCUCAUGCACGAAAGCGUGGGGAGCAAACAGGAUUCAGAUACCCUGGUAGUCCACGCCCUAAACGAUGUCAACUAGUUGUUGGGGAUUCAUUUCCUUAGUAACGUAGCUAACGCGUGAAGUUGACCGCCU